CUGACUUUGGCCUGAAAGCCUCGCAGAGGGGCCCACAUUCCUGCCCACGGCAUCCCCGCUCCUAGGAGGAAACUCAACAGGAUCUCUCCCUAUCCCAGCAUGCGCUCCUCAUCCUUGGGAAAAAAAGACAGCGCUCAUAAAUCCGGACAAAGUUAAGAUAACCGUGAGAGAAUCCGGAGUGUCUGACCUGCUUCCUUGAAGGAGAUGGUGGUCUCUGCCCCCUGGGUCCUGGGCCUUGAUGUACCUUAGAGGAUGUGGGUGAAGGAGAUGCUGGCUGGAAUGCAGUGCUGCAAUCUCGGCACACCGAAACCUCCGCCUCCCAGGUUCAAGCUGUUCUUCCAUCUCAGGCUCCCAAGUAGCUGGGAUUACAGACGCAUGCCACCAUGCCUGGUUAAUUUUUGAUUUUUGUAUUUGUAGUAGAGGUGGGGUUUCAUAAUGUUGGCCAGACUGGCCUUGAACUCCUGACCUCAGGUAAUCUGCCCGUCUUGGCCUUCCAAAGUAUUGGGGUUACAGAAGUGAGUCACCACACCUGGCCAAGAACUUUCUUUCUUCUUACCUUUUCUCUUAGUAGUGAGAGAAUUUUACACAAAUGAUUAUUGUAGAUGGAUAACAUGGUAGUUACUGAAGGAGCGUUGGAGGAUGUGUUCUAACUUGUUCAUUUUACAAGUGGAGAUACUGCGGCCCAGAGAGAGAAAUAGUGUCCUCAAAGUCACCACAUAGUAGGUGCUCACUAAGUACUUGUUGAUUGAAUCAGCAUAAACACACACAUUACAGACAGAGGGAACACCACCUGUUUGGAAGUCCCAGGCCACUGGGCUUUGACUCCCAGCGUGCACCACUUCAGUGUCCGAAAGCACAUUCACGUAAGUGAUUGCAGACAGGCUUCCUGGAGGAGGCAUGGCCUUCAAAGCUGUUCUAAGUGAGAGUCCAGGUGGAAGCCUGCGCAAACUGCAAACAGGACCAGGAGGAGGAGCUGGGGGCUGUGGGCACCUGGAGUGAGCUAUGGGGAGCUCAGGGGGUUGCUGGUGGAGCCUUGAGGAUUAGAGGCAGCAGUUUUGGGGCCUGCAGCUGUGGUCGCAUUCCUCCUCCUCCUCCCCUCAUCUCCCUUGGGUCCCUCCAGCUGGAGCUGCUGCUAACGAUACUGACCCAUCCUUGGCUGUGGAGACUGAGGCUGCCAGAGGGCGGGUGCUGGUUUCCAGGCUGUGCCACGUCAAGUGAGCCACUUAUGGGUGAGGAGGUCUCCAAGGAAACUCCAGAACAUUCUGUGGGUUUUGGUGAUGGCCUGCUGAGGUGGCAGUGGGCGUGGAGCAUCCGAAGGUCCAAGCUUUCUCCUGACACGUAG
rnacentral:lncRNA from 13 species